CCUACGUGAGGCAGCAGUGGGGGAUAUUGGACAAUGGGGGAAACCCUGAUCCAGCGACGCCGCGUGAGUGAAGAAGUAUUUCGGUAUGUAAAGCUCUAUCAGCAGGGAAGAAAGAAAUGACGGUACCUGAGUAAGAAGCCCCGGCUAACUACGUGCCAGCAGCCGCGGUAAUACGUAGGGGGCAAGCGUUAUCCGGAAUUACUGGGUGUAAAGGGAGCGUAGACGGUAAUGCAAGUCUGGAGUGAAAGGCGGGGUCCCAACCCCCGGACUGCUCUGGAAACUGGGUAACUGGAGUGCAGGGAAGGCAGGCGGAAUUGCUAGUGGAGCGGUGAAAUGCGUAGAUAUUAGGAGGAAGACCAGUGGCGAAGGCGGACUGCUGGACUGUAACUGACGUUGAGGCGCGAAAGCGUGGGGAGCAAACAGGAUUAGAUACCCCUGUAGUC
rnacentral:rRNA from 1 species